rnacentral:rRNA from 1 species
CGCACGGGUGAGUAACACGUAUCCAACCUGCCGUCUACUCUUGGACAGCCUUCUGAAAGGAAGAUUAAUACAAGAUGGCAUCAUGAGUCCGCAUGUUCACAUGAUUAAAGGUAUUCCGGUAGACGAUGGGGAUGCGUUCCAUUAGAUAGUAGGCGGGGUAACGGCCCACCUAGUCUUCGAUGGAUAGGGGUUCUGAGAGGAAGGUCCCCCACACUGGUACUGAGACACGGACCAGACUCCUACGGAAGGCAGCAG